ACAGUGAACAACUCCCUUCUCGCCGACAUCCCUUCACCUCUCUCCUCUGCCUCACCAAAAUGAAAUCAAAUUAAGAUUGAGCCAUGACAAACACACGCAGUAUGCAACAAAUAUAAAUCCUACAUAACAAACCCUAAAUUAACCUCCCUCCGUACCUCUCUGCAUUAUCACGAAGAAAAGCAAGCAAACAGUAUCUAUCUCGAUCGGCUCCGCCCCAUGCAAGGAAUGCUCACGCUAAGAGAUCUUCUUCAUUCUCUUCAACCAGUCUCCCUGCACUUUCCACUCCUACCAAUCUCAAAUCUAGCAAAGAGGUUAUAUUUCAUUUUGUUGCAUUGUCAUUCUUAUCAAGUUUCAGGUUUUCUGCGUUGUUGU